UGGGGAAUUUUGGACAAUGGGGGCAACCCUGAUCCAGCAAUGCCGCGUGAGUGAAGAAGGCCUUCGGGUUGUAAAGCUCUUUUGUCCGGGAAGAAACGGUAGCUCCUAAUACGGGUUGCUAAUGACGGUACCGGAAGAAUAAGCACCGGCUAACUACGUGCCAGCAGCCGCGGUAAUACGUAGGGUGCAAGCGUUAAUCGGAAUUACUGGGCGUAAAGCGUGCGCAGGCGGUUUUGUAAGUCAGCUGUGAAAUCCCCGGGCUCAACCUGGGAAUGGCAGUUGAGACUGCAAGGCUGGAGUGUGUCAGAGGGGGGUAGAAUUCCACGUGUAGCAGUGAAAUGCGUAGAGAUGUGGAGGAAUACCGAUGGCGAAGGCAGCCCCCUGGGAUAACACUGACGCUCAUGCACGAAAGCGUGGGGAGCAAACAGGAUUAGAUACCCCUGUAGUCC
rnacentral:rRNA from 1 species